GAUGUCCUGAUCUUGUCUCUCGUUUCUCUCUUGCUGCCGGUUCCCUGGUCCUGCAAAGUAGAAGUGGGCAAGAGGAGGAAGGCUUUGGAGAAACUGCAAGCAACAGGAGUGAAGAAUCUGCAAGCUCAUCAGGAGGCCAAAGAUGCAAGUCGCAGAAGAUGGAGGGGAAGGCGAGGGAGCCUGGACACUGGCACUUCUCUGAAGAAGUGGGCAAGAGGAGGAAGGCUUUGGAGAAACUGCAAGCAACAGGAGUGAAGAAUCUGCAAGCUCAUCAGGAGGCCAAAGAUGCAAGUCGCAGAAGAUGGAGGGGAAGGCGAGGGAGCCUGGACACUGGCACUUCUCUGAAGAAGUGGGCAAGAGGAGGAAGGCUUUGGAGAAACUGCAAGCAACAGGAGUGAAGAAUCUGCAAGCUCAUCAGGAGGCCAAAGAUGCAAGUCGCAGAAGAUGGAGGGGAAGGCGAGGGAGCCUGGACACUGGCACUUCUCUGAAGAAGUGGGCAAGAGGAGGAAGGCUUUGGAGAAACUGCAAGCAACAGGAGUGAAGAAUCUGCAAGCUCAUCAGGAGGCCAAAGAUGCAAGUCGCAGAAGAUGGAGGGGAAGGCGAGGGAGCCUGGACACUGGCACUUCUCUGAAGAAGUGGGCAAGAGGAGGAAGGCUUUGGAGAAACUGCAAGCAACAGGAGUGAAGAAUCUGCAAGCUCAUCAGGAGGCCAAAGAUGCAAGUCGCAGAAGAUGGAGGGGAAGGCGAGGGAGCCUGGACACUGGCACUUCUCUGAAGGUAGGGGAGGUAUGUGCCCUGUGAGUACCCAGUAAUUCCAGGCCCAGAUAGGAAGACCCUUCCGGCCUGUGUGGCCAGAGACCCACACCCUUUUCUCUUUAUGAGAGAUUUUUGAAGGGUGAACUGAGUCACAUGAGUACAUGAGACUGACAUGCAAUUAUUUUGGUCCUGGAGGUCCAAGAUAGCUGGUGUAUCUGGAAAAAUAUAUCGUGGGAUAAAUCGAGCAGAAGGGAAUUUGUUUAGUUCUUAUUUUUGGAACAUAUAUGUAUUAAAUUCUUCUGCCCUCAGUAGUCUUGGAUUUACAAGCUGUGGUUUUUCAAAUUGUUACCUGUAGUAUGUAAUAACACUUAAGGUAAAUCUGGAGCUUUCACAUUGGAGGGAGAUUUCUGGAAAUGUUUUUAAAAAGUCAUUUUUGGGCUUAUAAGGAAAAAUUCAUUUGUAAAUGUCACAUCUGCUAUUCCUUACAUCAAGUCUUUUUGUUUUUGCAGAAGAAGCAGGAACUUUUCAAUUUAAUUUUUGCUAUUUAAUCUUAGUCACUCUGAUAGUAUUGUUUAGGAAUUUGUUUUUUAUUUGUAGAAGUAUUGAAAUCUAUGAUCCUCUCCAUCUUAUAAAAAAUCUGUAUUGUGAGUCUCUUUAGGGGCCUAAAUCCUACCUAAUUACUUCCGCUCUCACUCAGCUGUUGCAUUCCUGAAAUGAAGCUGGAGUCAUACUCAAUUAAGCUUUGCAAGCACUUCCAGAGCUCUGUAUCUCUGGCAACUACUUAGACCUUUACAGAACCAUGGGUACUUGCUGAGCUUGUUAAAUUAUCAUACAUGCAAAAAACAGUUUUGGUGUUUGAUAAUAACCAAUAUUUUAAUGAAACUGUACUUUAGGAUAAUGAAUUCCAAUGCUUUUAUUGUUAAUCAGUUUGUGUUAAGAAUUUUUAAAAUUAAUUAAAAUAAUCUGAUUAUGAUUCCUUGGUAAAACUGGAUGUAUUCUGUAUUAACUUGAUAGUCUUAACUCUGUCAGUAUCACAAAAAUCUUAUUUUAUAUUUCUUUUUUGCAAUUACAUAUCUAAUGUUGUAUUUUACUUAAUAAAGCUUAUAAAGCUGAGAGUCUUAGUUCUG